rnacentral:misc_RNA from 1 species
GAUGAAGAACGUAGCGAAAUGCGAUACGUAGUGUGAAUUGCAGAAUUCAGUGAAUCAUCGAAUCUUUGAACGCACAUUGCACCUCUCGGUAUUCCGGGAGGUAUGCCUGUUCGAGCGUCAUUUGUACCCUCAAGCUCUGCUUGGUGUUGGGUGUUUGUUCCGCCUCUGUGUGUGAACUCGCCUCAAAACAAUUGGCAGCCGGCGUACUUGUUUCGGAGCGCAGCACAUUUUGCGAUCCAGAUCAACGUACAGCGGCAUCCAAGAAGCCUUAUUUAACGCUCUUGACCUCGGAUCAGUUAGGGAUACCCGCUGAACUUAAGCAUAUCAAUAAGCGGAGGA